GCCCCCAUCGUCUAGUGGCCAAGGAUGUCGCCUUCUCAAGGCGGAGACGGAGAUUCGAAUUCUCCUGGGGGCACCA
rnacentral:tRNA from 1 species